rnacentral:rRNA from 1 species
GACGAACGCUGGCGGCGUGCUUAACACAUGCAAGUCGAACGGAAAGGCCCUGCUUUUGUGGGGUGCUCGAGUGGCGAACGGGUGAGUAACACGUGAGUAACCUGCCCUUGACUUUGGGAUAACUGCAGGAAACGGGGGCGAAUACCGGAUAGGAGCUCCUGCGGCAUGGUGGGGGUUGGAAAGUUUCGGCGGUUGGGGAUGGACUCGCGGCUUAUCAGCUUGUUGGUGGGGUAGUGGCUUACCAAGGCUUUGACGGGUAGCCGGCCUGAGAGGGUGACCGGCCACAUUGGGACUGAGAUACGGCCCAGACUCCUACGGGAGGCAGCAGUGGGGAAUAUUGCACAAUGGGCGGAACCCUGAUGCAGCAACGCCGCGUGCGGGAUGACGGCAUUCGGGUUGUAAACCGCUUUCGCCUGUGACGAAGCGUGAGUGACGGUAAUGGGUAAAGAAGCACCGGCUAACUACGUG